AUUGAACGCUGGCGGCAGGCCUAACACAUGCAAGUCGAGCGGAGCGGCGGACGGGUGAGUAAUGCCUAGGAAUCUGCCUGGUAGUGGGGGUUACCGUCCGGAAACGGGCCCUAAUCCCGCAUCCUAUCUGUUUAGCUUAGGUGGGUUAAGCAGUUUGGUGGGGUAAUGGCCUACAAAGGCGACGAUCCGUAACUGGUCUGAGAGGAGGAUCAGUCACACUGGAACUGAGAAACGGUCCAGACUCCUACGGGAGGCAGCAGUGGGGAAUAUUGGACAAUGGGCGAAAGCCUGAUCCAGCAAUGCCGCGUGUGUGAAGAAGGUCUUCGGAUUGUAAAGCACUUUAAGUUGGGAGGCGUUACCAACAGAAUAAGCACCGGCUAACUUCGUGCCAGCAGCCGCGGUAAUUC
rnacentral:rRNA from 1 species